CUACGGGCUGCAGCAGUGAGGAAUAUUGCACAAUGGGGGGAACCCUGAUGCGGCAACGCCGCGUGGAGGAUGACGCAUUUCGGUGUGUAAACUCCUUCUAUAUGUCAAGAAAAUGACGGUAGCAUAUGAAUAAGCACCGGCUAACUCCGUGCCAGCAGCCGCGGUAAUACGGAGGGUGCAAGCGUUACUCGGAAUCACUGGGCGUAAAGGACGCGUAGGCGGGUUGGAAAGUCAGGUGUGAAAUCCUACAGCUUAACUGUAGAACUGCACUUGAAACUUCUAAUCUAGAGUAUGGGAGGGGGAGAUGGAAUUAGUGGUGUAGGGGUAAAAUCCGUAGAUAUCACUAGGAAUACCUAAAGCGAAGGCGAUCUCCUGGAACAUUACUGACGCUAAGGCGUGAAAGCGUGGGGAGCAAACAGGAUUAGAUACCCUAGUAGUC
rnacentral:rRNA from 1 species